rnacentral:rRNA from 1 species
GUGUACGGCCAUGCUACCCUGAGCAAGCCUGAUCCCAUCUGAUCUCGGAAGCUAAGCAGGGUUGAGUCUGGUUAGUACUUGAAUGGGAGACCACCUAGGAAGACCAGGUGCUAUAGGCG